GGUACCGUGAGAUGUGGUAUUUCUGCUGUUGAUAUCUAAGAUGGUUAAAGAUAAUGUCAAAGUAAGUUGGAUCUCGAUCAAUUAGACUAGAGUACUUGAUGUUGGUGUGUUCAAUGGUGGGUUUUGUGGUAAUAAAUAAUUUUCCUCCAACAUUUAUUUCAAUCAAUUCAAUUUUCUCUGGGUUGAUUACUUCAAUUUGUUGCGGAGUGAAUUUUGGUUGAUCUUUUCUGGUUCCAGGACUGCAACAUUUCGUUCUUUCACGAUGGAAGAAAUUGAGGAUUCUGCGGAGGAAGAUCUCUUGUCCGAUGACGCACUGGAAGAACUAAGAGACAGGCUCUUCUUGGCCCGCUUCCCGUUGUCCUCAUUUGCUUGAAGUUCUGUCAGGCGUUUUCCCGAAAAAACAGGAGCUGGUUUAGUGGCGAUUCGCCGCGUGGCAUCAUGGUCCUCUGGCCUCUUGACAUCUCUCUGGAUGUUUUCAGUGCGUCUUAUCAGUGAACGGACCUUCAGCUUAAACUCGCUUAGGACUUUUUCCGCCUCCGCUCCACGUGCGCCCGUCGUCUGUACAAACCUAAUAUAGUCCUCUUUUUGAUUGUGGCACGGACCACUGCCAGGCGUGUUUCGGUGGAAGACCUUACAACACCGAACACAUUUCCAAGAGACCCCGGAAUGCUGCUCAACCACAUGGUUGUAACAUUUCAAUCAUACGUGUUGGGAAUGUGAUAUCCCCACAAACGAGGCAGUCUAUUUUCAGAACCUGAAGGAUGACCAAAAACAAGAUCAAUGGGCAAUCUCAUGUCGUCACCGAACAUCAUUUUAUAUGGGGUGUGACCAGUAGCAGAGUGAACAGAUGACCUGUAUGCCAUCAAGCAGAAAGAGCGAUUCAAUGAUGCGCGACGGGAACGAUCCCACCAAGCAUGACCGGACACAAUAGCAGAAGAUUUUGAUUUUCAUUGUCAUAAUAAAUAAACAACAAAAUG